GUCUUCCUGAACUGAGAACUUCCAGAGGCCACCCCGGCCCAGCUGGCGUGAGGGCCUGGCUGUCGGGCCAUCUGUGCUCUGGACACGGGCAACAGCGUUCCGUUAGCUGUCCUCAUCGUGGGGUCUCCUCCUGUCACCUGGCUUCCCGCGGGGGCCUGGGCCUCCUUCCAGCGUUCCCUGCAGACUGCAGCCCCAGUGAGCGCGUGACAAGGUCGAUGCUCAGCGUCACCAGGGGACGCAGGUCAGCGUCACAGGGAGGGGCCGCCUCACACCCAUCGGGGUGGCUACUUGCUAAAAACAACAGAAAACAAGUGGUGGCAAGGGUGUGGAGCCACUGGAACCGUGUGCGCUGCUGGUGGGGACGGGAAAUGGUGCAGCCGCUGUGGAAAACGGCAUGGCAGUUCCUCAGAAAGAACCCUGGAUUGGAUCCUGGAACAGAAAAGGAACAUCAGUGGAAAAACCGAUGAAAUCGAAAUAAGUCAAUAAAAGGGAGAAAAUGGGAUGUUAAAAAAUACUCAUUCAGUCCAAAAUGAGGCUGACAGAGAAGAAAGAAGGCACAAAGAGCCAGCGGGACACGCAGAACAGCAGGAGGCUGUUGCAUCUCCACCCAGUCUACCUGCGGCCCCACUGGCGGCACCAGGACGGAGGUCCGUCGGAGAGCCCAGGCAGCAGCGCAGAGCACGCCCCCCGUGUCUGCUGUCCGCAGAAGUUCACCUUCCGACUAAAGGCACAUCAGAAGUGAAAGGAUGGACUACGUAGCUACCGAGAGAUGAACCCGCCUGUGAGCAGGCAGCCACUGGGUGGCGGCGUCCUGACCCCAGCGCGAAGCACCCAGCUGCACCCCCCUUGCUGGCUCCUCACCCAGAGCUGCUGACCGGCCCACAGCCCCCAGGGCCUCGUCUGCAGCAUGGGGUGCGGUCAGCGCCUUGUUUACGCACACCUGCCGAAAUGCGGGCACUCCAUGUGCUGAAGGCUCCUCUGUUCCUGACUUCCUGUCCCUCUGGAGGCCGGCCCAGGGCCCAGAAGAGCAGGGUGGGACACGGAAAGGCACCACAGCCUCCCUGCAGCCCAACUGGUCCUCACUGCCCAGGCCCCUCCCUGUCUGCUCUGGUCUUUUCUCCCCCAGGUGCCCGUCUCCUUGCACCCCCACUGCUCUGCCUGGAAGGUCAGGGUGUUCUCAGGGAGUCCCCCUUCCCUCUUUUCCUCGUGGCCACACCCACCUGGCUGGGACACACAAGAUUGUGAUUGUGUCCAGGUCAUGACCUUGAAGCCUGUCCUAGGCCACAGGAACGGUCCCUAAGGCCAUCACCCAGUCACUCCCACAGCCCAGUCAUCCCCCCAUCAGCUAAGGGGUCCCGAGGGAAGGAGCAGCUCAUGCCCCUCCACCUGGCCAGCUGGGCCCCCCGACGGCCCAGCUUCAGCUCCGUUUUCCACAGCACGCCUGCCACUUCAGGGUACCACUUGCUCCAAGUUUGAGGAUACACUGCUGUGUUUUCUGGUUUCUACAAUACACUUUACUGUGUUAAAACACACGUGACAUAAAAGCCCCUGAACCUCUUUCAAGAGCACAUUUCUGUAGCGUUGAGUGCAUUCACAUGGUUGUGCAUCCGUCACCACCAUCUGUCCCCAGAACUUUCUCAUCUUCCCAGACAGAAGCUCUGUCCCUGCUGAACACCACUCCCCUCCCCCAGCCCCGGCCCCCCCACCCUACUUUCUGUCUAAGAAUCGGACGGCUCUGGGACCUCAAGUAGGUGGAGUCGCACAGUUUCUGCUCCUUUGUGGCUUCCUCUUCACUCAGCGUGAUGUCCGCAGGGCCCAUCCGUGUUGGGCAGGUGUCGGAAUUUCCUUCUUUCCCCAAGGCCGGAUGACAUUGCGUCGUGUGGCUGGACCACGUCUUGGUAGCCCCUUCGUGGUCCACGGGCAGUUGGGCUGCAUCCACGUUUUGAGGCUACGGUGAAGGGUGCUACUAGAGGUGCAGGGUUACCUCCUCCAGACCUGCCUGCUCGCGACUCUUCGUAGUGCGUAUCCAGAGUGGAAUUGUGGGGUCACUGCAAACUCGUUUCUCAAGGACCCUCCCUGCUGUUCUCCAUUCCCUCCAGCAGUGCCCAGGGCUCCAACUUGACGCGUAUGUUUAUGUAUCUGAAACCUGAAUCCAAAGCAUCACUUAAUAGGUAACA